rnacentral:rRNA from 1 species
AGAACGAACGCUGGCGGCAUGCCUAACACAUGCAAGUCGAACGAACCCUUCGGGGUUAGUGGCGCACGGGUGCGUAACGCGUGGGAAUCUGCCCAAAGGUUCGGAAUAACUCAGGGAAACUUGAGCUAAUACCGGAUAAUGUCGCAAGACCAAAGAUUUAUUGCCUUUGGAUGAGCCCGCGUAGGAUUAGCUAGUUGGUGGGGUAAAGGCCUACCAAGGCGACGAUCCUUAGCUGGUCUGAGAGGAUGAUCAGCCACACUGGGACUGAGACACGGCCCAGACUCCUACGGGAGGCAGCAGUGGGGAAUAUUGGACAAUGGGCGAAAGCCUGAUCCAGCAAUGCCGCGUGAGUGAUGAAGGCCUUAGGGUUGUAAAGCUCUUUACCCGGGAUGAUAAUGACAGUACCGGGAGAAUAAGCUCCGGCUAACUCCGUGCCAGCAGCCGC